rnacentral:rRNA from 1 species
AGUGAACGCUGGCGGCGUGCCUAAUACAUGCAAGUCGAACGGAGGGGAGCACGGGUGAGAAAUAUAUAGCUAAUCUGCCGCUUGCUGGGGGACACCAGAUAGAAAUGACUGAUAAUACUACAUAGCAAGGGAUGAGACUAUAUCGUAUCAGCUGGUCGGUGGGGUAACGGCCUACCGAGGCUAUGACGAGUCACCGGUAUGGGAGGAUGGUCAGUCAGAUUGGAACAGAGGCACGGUACAAACUCCGACGGGAGGCAGCAGGAGGGAAGAAUGCGCAACGGGGGAAUCCUGGACGCAGCAACGGCGCGUGGAGGAUGACACGUUGCUGAGCGUAAACUCCUUUGGUUACGAAAGCGGUACCUAACGAAUAAGCACCGGCUAACUACGUGCCAGCAGCCGCGGUAAUAC